CCCGACUGCUAUUUGGGUGAGGAUAAGCCAUGCGAGUUGUAUGGGAUACCUAAAUUUCCCAUGGCAAACUGCUUAGUAACACAUGAUCAACUUACCCUAUGGAGAAAAAUAACCUCGGGAAACUGAGGAUAAUGUUUCAUAGGUGAAUAGGCUUGGAAAAGUUUUUCAUCGAAAAGGAUAAGAAAAAUGGUUUUUAUCUGCCAUAGGAUAGGAUCGUGGUCGAUUAUGGUUGUUGGUGAGGUAACGGCUCACCAAGCCGACAAUCGAUAGGGGCCGUGAGAGCGGGAGCCCCAAGAUGGGUACUGAGACAGCGACCCAGCCUUACGAGGCGCAGCAGGCGCGGAACCUCCGCAAUACACGAAAGUGUGACGGGGUUACCCAAAGUGUUCUUUUAAGAACUGUGGUAGGUGAGUAAUAUCCCCUACUAAAAGGAGAGGGCAAGGCUGGUGCCAGCCGCCGCGGUAAAACCAGCUCUUCAAGUGGUCGGGAUAAUUAUUGGGCUUAAAGUGUCCGUAGCCGGUUUAGUAAGUUCCUGGUAAAAUCGGGUAGCUUAACUAUCCGCAUGCUAGGAGUACUGCUAUACUAGAGGGCGGGAGAGGUCUGAGGUACUACAGGGGUAGGGGUGAAAUCUUAUAAUCCUUGUAGGACCACCAGUGGCGAAGGCGUCAGACUGGGACGCGCCUGACGGUGAGGGACGAAAGCCAGGGGAGCGAACCGGAUUAGAUACGUUGGUGUUAUUUGAAUGUAAUGUAAGAAUUACUAACACAAUGCUAAAAACCCGGGUAGUCCUGGCCGUAAACGAUGCAUACUAGGUGAUGAUACGGCCAUGAGCCGUGUCAGUGCCGUAGGGAAACCGUUAAGUGUGCCGCCUGGGAAGUACGGUCGCAAGGCUAAAACUUAAAGGAAUUGGCGGGGGAGCACCACAAGGGGUGAAGCCUGCGGUUCA
rnacentral:rRNA from 1 species